UUAGGUCAAGCUACAAAGGGCGCAGGGUGAAUGCCUUGGCACUAGGAGCCGAAGAAGGACGCGAUAAGCUGCGAUAAGCUUUGGGUAGGCGCAAAUAGCCUGUGAUCCAGAGAUUUCCGAAUGGGGAAACCUACUUAAUUAUAUUAAGUACCAUAUGCUGAAUACAUAGGUAUAUGGGGGUAAACCCGGGGAACUGAAACAUCUAAGUACCCGGAGGAAGAGAAAGAAACAUCGAUUUCCUAAGUAGCGGCGAGCGAAAGGGAAAGAGCCCAAACCAAAGCCUUUGGCUUUGGGGU
rnacentral:rRNA from 1 species